rnacentral:rRNA from 1 species
UACGUAGGGACCGAGCGUUGUCCGGAUUCAUUGGGCGUAAAGAGCUCGUAGGCGGCUGCUCAAGUCGAAUGUGAAAACUCGAGGCUCAACCUCGAGCCUGCAUUCGAUACUGGGCGGCUAGAGUCUGGUAGGGGGAUCUGGAAUUCCUGGUGUAGCGGUGAAAUGCGCAGAUAUCGGGAGGAACACCAGUGGCGAAGGCGACUACCUGGCCUGUUCUUGACGCUGAGGCGCGAAAGCUAGGGGAGCAAACGGG